rnacentral:rRNA from 1 species
AGAGUAUCAUCCGGCGACUGGUGAAAUGGGAUGACCCGUGUGGGAGUAACCAAAGCGAAAGCGCUGGCCAGGGGCGAGUCCGAUGGUAAAGGACGUAGGCUAGAGGAUCGAAGACGAUUAGAGACCGUUGUAGUUCUAGCAGUAAACGAUGCCGAUGUCGUGGUGCCGAAUAAUGGCGACGCGAAAGAGAAAUCGAGUAGGGCCCUGGGGAGAGUACACGCGCAAGCGAGAAAUUUAAAGGAAAUUGACGGAAGAACACCACAAGGAGUGGAGUGUGCGGCUUAAUUUGACUCAACGCGGGACAACUUACCGGGCCCGACGACCGUAAGAGUGUGACACACGAUAGGUCGAAGAGUGGUGCAUGGCCGUUAACGACGAGUGGAGUGAUCUUUGGGUUAAGUCCGUAAAUUAGUGAGACCUCAGCCGUAAGGGACAGGUGCGCAAAGCACAGGAAGGAUGGGUCAAGGACAGGUCAGUGAUGCCCUUAGAUGGUCCGGGCUGCACGCGCACUACAGUGGUCGCCGAAAUUACCUGAUAAUUUUAAAGGCGAUCGAGAGGGAAUGAGCUUUGUAAGAGGCUCAGGAACGAGGAAUUGCUAGUAA